AGAUAAACAAAACAAACCAAGAGACAGACGCGUGGACUCCAUUGAGAUGGCUUUCUUGUUACCGAGAUAGAAGCACAUACACGAGUCAAACACGAUUUCCUACUUUUCCAUAGGGAUUUCAAUGAGACCCCGGAAAUGAACAGAAACCCAAGCCAGGCCUGAACACCAGACCCUGGCUGCCAGACCUAAGCGAGACUCAGGUUUAGACCCAGAACCGGACUCCUUCAAGGCCAUAAGAGGCCACACCCAGGACCGGACAAAAUUCAAGAGAGGUCUAGACACGAACCAGACCCAGGCAACUUCAGACACCUGUAUCCAUCCUCUGAGCUCAGUUGUCCUCUGAGUUGUCCUCUGGUGGUCCACGUUCAACACACGGCUGGACUCUAGAGGUGGCUGAGAGGUUCCAACACAGGAACACAGAGUGCUGCUCUGUAAUGCCUCAGCCCAGCAUCAUUGGGAUGGAGCCUCCCUUUGGGGACGCGUUUCAGAACUACACGUUUGCUGACCAGGUGCUGACCAGCACUGAGCUGCUGGCCAACAGCUCCGAUCCUGAUUUCAUGUAUGAACUGGACAAGGACAUGCCUGCAUGCCAGAGCCCCAGGGAGGAGGCCUUCUCUAUGGGGGAGGGUAAGGAGGUGGAGGUUGGGGGUCUGACCGACCUGGGGGAGGCAGAGCCUGCCUACAGCGCCACCUUCGAACAGUGGGACACUUACUGGGAGGACCUUACAAGGUACACCCGACUCACCAGCUGUGAUAUCUGGGGCACCAAGGAGGUGGACUUCCUCGGCCUGGACGACUUCUCCAGCCCCUACCAGGAUGAGGAGGUGAUCGGGCGCACCCCCACCUUGGCCCAGCUCAACGGAGAGGACUCACAGCCCGUGUGUGACACCCUUUACCACCCUGAGCUGCCCCUGCACCCCUCCCUUAGCAAGAAGACCCCUGGCCCCACACGCCAUGACCCCAUCCCUGGCCCCACUCUGGCCCCCUCCUUUGCCCCCCCUGCCCGCAGCCCUCUCCCAGACUUCCCUGACGGCUUCCAGAAGGCCACCUGUCCAGUUCCUUCCAGCACGGAGACCCGCUCCAAGGCCCAGAUCCAGGGCUCCAGCACAAAGAUGUUCCCCCUGGCCCUGAACAGCUCUGACUUCGUCCGCAAGGCCAAGGUGCGCAUCAGUACGCUCCGUGGUCCCCAUGCUGAGGCACCCCCCAUGAAGACGGAGGCCGACGAGGACCCUCCCUUGGGCCCCCCUCCGAUCCUCCAAGACCAGGCCUCCACCUCGGGCAGCCCCGUCCUGGUGGCUGCACCCGGGACUGUGGCCUCCGGCCCAGCUAGCCUGCUGGCUCCACGAAGGGAGAUGCCUGCUGCCUCCCUGGGCAGGUCUGGGGCCGUGCCCCCCCAGCUCAGUUACCCCGGGGCUGGGGGAAGCCAGAGCCUGCAGGGGGGGCAAGGGCAUGAGAGUCUGGAGGGAGAGGCAGCACUAGAGAAAACCAAGGAGGAAGAGCACAACUAUUCUGUCUUCCUCACUCGUGCCAGACUGGCUGGCAAGGCCCUGUCUGAGCUGGAGGAGGAGGAGGAGGAGGAGGAGGAAGAGGAAGAGGAGGAGGAGGAAGAGGAGGGAGAGGAGGGAGAGGAAGAGGAGGCUGAGGCAGAGGAGAUGGAAAUGGAAGAUGAAGACCACGAUGAAGGCUUCGGCAGUGAGCAUGAGCUGUCGGAGAAUGACGAGGAAGAGGAGGAGGAGGAUGAAGACUAUGAGGCUGAUAAAGAUGACGAUAUGAGCGAUGCUUUCUCUGAACCAGGCUGUGACACAGACAUCGUGGAGGACGUGAAGGGACUGACGGCGGGCGUGUCCAGGAAGCGGGGGAAGCGUCGCUACUUCUGGGAGUACAGCGAGCAGCUGACACCCUGCAAGCAGGAGCGGCUGCUCAAGCCCUCCGAGUGGGACAGAGACACCCUGCCCAGCAACAUGUACCAGAGGAACGGUCCUCACCACGGGAAGUACACUCUGAAGAAGUCUCGUCGUACAGACGUGGAGGACCUGACGCCCAACCCCAGGAAGCUGCUGCAGAUCGGCACGGAGCUCAGGAAGCUAAACAAGGUGAUCAGCGACCUGACGCCCGUCAGCGAGCUGCCCCUCACCGCCCGGCCGCGCUCCCGCAAAGAGAAGAACAAGCUGGCGUCCAGGGCGUGCCGUCUGAAGAAGAAGGCCCAGUACGAGGCCAACAAGGUCAAGCUGUGGGGUCUCAGCACCGAGUAUGAUCGCCUGCUGUUCGUUAUCAACGCCAUAAAGGAAGAGAUUGUGACACGGGUCCAUGACUCAUCCCACCACAGCUCCAACAUGGCCGACACCCUGGACAGACUGAUCAAAGAAACUCUAGUGUCAGCACCAGUUGCUGGGCAGACUUCAGAUUUUGUCAACCAGAUCCUGGAGAAUACGGGGAAGGGCGAUCCCACUGGCGGAUUGGUCGGCCUGCGAGUCCCCACCUCCAAGGUUUAGAAGCCCCGCCCACCGAGGGGAGGGGCCUCAGUCACUCAACGCACUGUCCCACACUGUAACAAUGACCCUCUGCAUGCCCCCCCAACCCCCCUCUCAGACCCCCCACCUCCUGCCGAGUGUGGGACACAUGCCGAGGCCCUGUGUGCGUGUAUGUGUGUGUGUGCUCACACUACCCACUUGUAGGGAAACCCAGUAGCUCUCUUAGUAGUGUGUGAGUCAGUCGCCAUGUUGUGCAUGUGGUAAGACGUUCCAAUAGCAACCACAGAUCUUCUCAUAGCUCCUCAUAUCACCAUGAUGUAACACCUUUCUGCAACCAAUCACAAGUGGCGGAGGGGGAAUACUUCCUGGUUUCGCCUUCUCCUUUAGCGGUCCAAGCGUCCAGCUGGAAGGCAUGGCAAGUAGGAGGGCGCAGUCAUGACUCACGAGUGGAAGAAAUCUUUGAUUUCAGCAGGAAGCAAUGUCUGCUAUCUGAAAAGCCUAAAUAUGGUAGGGUCAUAGCCCUCCAAUCAGAAACCUUGUUGUAGAAGCCACCUGAGCAGAAAGACAGAGGCUGACAGACCCUCAGUCAUAAUUGAAUAGUGAUGGGGAACUGGGGGAGGGUGAGGAGAGCACAGACACGAUCAGGAAAGGGGAGCAGUAAGGCAGAGACAAAGAAGAAAGAGAGGAAUUAAUGUCCCCCCACUCCCCCCCUCCAAAAAACAGCUGUGGACAGCUGUGAACACAACGGAAGUGUUCUGUUUAUACUACUUCCUGGAGGACGUGUUCCACACAUGCGCAGUACAUUGCAUAGCGCAUCAUGAAGCGUAGUGGCCAUGCAGGAUGUCAUAGAUUAUUGGAGGUUCACGGAUGUCCAUACAGAGCCUACGCGUGGACUGAUGACGAAAUUGCCGUUGUGCAGACCCUCAUGGACAUGGAAAGUUUAACACCAGUUUCCCACAGACUGUCCCCACGUAAACGUAGAAAAUGCGGCGAGGCUUCAGUCAGCCCAGAAGUGUAGCAGUCUGCCAACGCAGAGAAAAACCUACACUUAAAUGCUGUUGUCUUAUGUUGAGGAAUGUGCGUCAGUUGUGACCAGGUUUGAGGAAGCUGAGUGUGAAGGUUGCUGCGCUGUCCAGUUGACUAAAUAGCUGACCAAGAUAUCUUUGAAUUCUGAUUAAAACAUAGGUGGGAUCUGGCGCAUGAGUGAAACUAGAAUGGUUGAUAUCCAUGAUGUCCAUCAUGACAUCAUCAGACUUUUAUGUUAGCCUUAGGUAGUGGUUGAAACAUUCUUUAACUGUUUCCUGUUUUUAUAGUGUUUCGUUUUGUAUAUAGACUUAUUACGUUGAAAUGUAUCUUCUAAAUGUUAAAUGUAAAGUAUAUAUUCUAUAUUACAUGUAUGAAAAACAGAAAGCACUUUGUUCAACAAAAAAAAGAGGAAAAAAAACAAAAAGAAAAGCAUUUUUCCUUCCAUUUGCUGCUAAUCGGCCUGGUGUGAAUGCUGCAGGAAGUACUUGACUAUUUUAACCUGGCCAACAGUCUCAGCCCAGUCUAUAACCUGGUCUAGACUGUUGGAGCAGUCUAUUACCUGGCUGGCACAGUAUGUGUGUAGUAGGUCGUUAACAGGACAGUGUCGCAGGUCUCAACAAGAUGGUUUUAUUCCAAGGCCCCUUCGUUCAUAUGACUGAUGAUGUCAUGGUUAAUUUGCCUUCAGUAGAGAUUUCCUAUGGAAAGACUUUAAUUCUGCUCUGGCUCCUUUAUUCAGGUUGUUGUACAGUGUAGACACCUCUCUCGUGGCCUUUGCCUGAGGGGGGUUGUUAUUGUUAUAAUUUUUAAAAACUGAUUUGUACUUGUGACUUGUACUGAAAAAAUUGAAAAAUAUAAAAAACAUUGUGGGGGGGGGCGUGGGACUGAGGAGCCAUACCAGGCCUCAGCAGCUAAACUUUUAUCACUGUACUGUAAGACAAGUCAAUUGCAAUGGAAAUUCAAUCCGGACACACUUGCCUUUUCUCUUUCGAUAAAAACGUUCAUUCUUAAAUAAGAUGGCCAUUGGCCGAUUGCUACUGGUGGAAUUCCUAUAGCAACCGGACCAGCCAACCUUUUUUCCUACAUCGUACUGUCAACAACAACAAACUUAAGCCUGAUUGGCUCAAAUUAACAGUGAGCUCUCCACUGGGGGGUCACAAAAGGCAAAUGGGGGUGAAGCGAGGGGACCUGCUGAUAUGGUAGGGAGAGAGUAAGAGGGGGGGGAGGGGAAGGGGGGGGGGAUUGUUGGUAUGAGGCAGAGGCAGGAAAGCGUGUUCUUUCAGAUUUUCACAGUUAACAUGAUGGAUGCGAGCUGUGCAACUUUACAAACCAGAAGACUCUGUGGCAUUUUAGCGGUCCAGGACAGGGUUGAUUAUUCAACGCCAGUAACUAUUCCUUCUUCUCUAUCAACCUAACAACUAGAGUCAGAUAGAUACAAAUCUAGUAGGUUGUGUAAGUUAAGUGUGUGCUACUUUCGUCUGAUAAUCAAAUAAACCUGAAUCCAUAAAGGUGUGCAGUGAAUCAGGGUUAUGACCAUCCUUCUAUGAGAAACGUGUAAUGAAAUAUAUCCAAAAGAAAAUAUAUUUAUGUAUUCCAAUUAAUGAUCGCCAUUUAUUUCAUCAUUAAAUAACAAUAUUAUAUAUGUUUAUGGAGUUGUCUGUGAGAAAAAAAAUUGUGCAAUGCUCUCUACACAAACAGCCAAUAGAUUUAUAAACAGAGCUAUAUUCCUACCGUAGUUUUCUUUAUAUUCUAUAGACAUGGGUGACAUUGUUUUUUAAAUCUUUUUUUAAUUUGUAUUAUUCUUUGAAAGGGACAUUAUGCUUCCUGGCUCUGAAGUUGCCUGUGUUGUAGAAUGCUGCUGCUGCUACUGGGGUUGGCUCAUAGCGACACACAUAGAGACAGACGAAACAUCUGCAUUCUAGAUUCUAUAUCGUCUCCGUGGUGAAACACACUUGACGUUGUCCUAGUUCUGUGUUUCAACCAAGCCACGGUGAACCUGGAGACAAAUUCAAUUGGGCUUGCUGUGAGGCUACCAUUACAGUAUGUAUAGUUGUACUGUGGUGAUCCUUGCUUGUAUACAAACAAUUAAUUUUCUGUCCUGGCUAUCAGCCAAUCACAGCUCUGCAUGUGGCAGCAGCAUGUGCAAGGCAGGGAGGGGGAAACUGCAAGCGUCAACUUUUUAACGGCUACACCCUCGUAUAGUCUAGGCUCUCUGGUGUCCAGCUCUCGACUUCCUGCGGGUCUUCCUGGCCAACAUUCCAUGUUCUACAGGUUCUGCUCCCAUCGUCUUCUAUUCCAAACGGAACAAGGGAAUGUUGGUCAGGGGGGUGUCCCAUUCUAAAAAGCAUUCUGAAGACUUUGGCCCCGCAUUCUCUCCCACACCAUAGCUCCCACACACACACACACACACACACACAAGUAUCAAAUGUUAUCACCCUAUGAAAGCUUAUCACUAACACAGGCUGGAUUAUGUAACACACUCUGGAGGGCUCCUGAUGAAUUGUGUUUCAUGUCAUAGCCCGCCUCACUCUUUCAGACUCGUAUCUGCAGCGGGCUAUGACAAUGCUGCGUCUGCUAUUUUUGAUGUAUAUCUGUGUAGACUGAGAUUCCCACCUGUGCAAGGGGUAUUCCAGUAUUCAUUUCAACCUGAAGGGUGAGGGUCCCAGGCUACCUGUUGUGUCUGUCUGCUAGACAGAGGACAACAGGGUCUGAACGAGCACAAGUUUGAAAGACAAAUAAAGGUUUUGGUGUUCGGUAGGUGCAGGGACUCAACCCUGGUUGGGGGGUCAGAGGCCUCGGUACGACCGAUAAUCAGAGCUUGCGCCACGGCUUUCCUUCUUAUAUCGAUCAUAACAAAACAGCCACCUUGCACUUGGUUUUACACAAGUAAAAAAGAGAAUAAACAAGUCAAACGUUAUUUUUAAUACAAUGCCUGCUAAACCAGGUGCCUUACUGAAACCGAUGAGAAUCCAAACUUGAUCUGCACCCUCUCCUUUUCCAAGUCUGGGUGUUUUGUAUUGAGGACCAGACCUCUCUCCUUCCUUCCCCUCUCUCUGCCCACUAUGCUAAGAGGUUUCAGGACUAUUUGCAGUCCAGGAGUCUAGUGCUGCAAACUGAUGCUGCUUUGUCGUUUUCAUAAGAGAUGAAUGUAGUCUUCCUUCUGAGAGUACAGGCCAGUUCAAGCAGAGCCUUGGGUGUAGAAAUAUAUAUAAUGAAGGAAGCUCUAGAAUGCUCUAGAAUGAGGGGGAACUCAGUAGUCACAGAGGAAGAGAGCCUUUACAAAAAGUGCUUUAGUGAUUCUGAAGAUGUAGUGUUUGAAGUGUAAAGCCUGCUCGGUUGGUGUCCUUAUUCCUCUGAAACUAUUCUUAUUUCAUAAUUUUUUUAUACAUGUUUAUGCUCCAAUGAGUUUGUACGUUGUUGCACAAUUUUGAAUUCUUCAGAGAGGGAAAAAUAUAUAUUUUGCCUUGUGUUUCUAGUCAGUGCCCUUUGGCAAUGCCACUCCUGAUUUACUCUGUCCUUAUCUGUCCAUUUGUAAGAAAUAAAUAUUUAUCAGGUUUGUGUCUAUUAGGCAUGGCCAAUGGAGUAGAAAUACGUUCUGCUCCAACAGAGGCAGAGCUCUCUAGCUAGCUCAGAUUGGUCAAACAAUGGAAUCGCUUAAACUCUCAGAAAAAGUGGAAGGGGGUACAAGCUGGUGCUUUUUCUCAAGUCGUUCCUAAUCAGUCAUUCUGAGAACCCGUCUACAGCUGUCUGACAGGGCUCCUCUCCAGAGCUGCUGCUGUCUGACAUGUUGUCCACAGCCCUGGACCUGCUCAGUUAAGAACGUCCUGCCCGGCCCAACCUACUGUGUCCCUCAGAACCCCGCAAGAUACAUGUGCCUCUCUGUCCCCCAUUGGGGGGGCUAGCAUUACCUGGAGCAGUAUCAUGCACACACACACACGUACUCACAUAAUCAUGCAGACAUGUUCAGAUGGCCUUAUGCUACUGCUCUUCUAUAACUAAACAAAAAAAUCAGUUGACCAAUGAAACAAGACCAGUAGAGGCUGCAUUGUCGAAACCUGGACAUAGAAACAUGAGAGUAAUUGGUUUUAACUGUAUCCAUAGUGCAGGAGGUAUCUCUCCAAACAAAACAGGGCGUGGCAAGGAUAAAAAUCAAGUGAGCCCUCACCCCAAGACUCCUGAAGGUUUCUGUGGCGGGGUGAGGAGCUAAAUUGUGCUCUAGGAGUUGCUAAUGAUGCUCUUGGUGCUAAUGGUUUUUGGUGCUGAAGUCCAAAGCGAGUCAGCCUACUUCCUCCCUGUCGUGAGGGAUGCCCUGUAGAGUGCUCUGUGUUGUCAUCAGGAGCAGAGAGGAAAGAGCAUGCUGGUCCGGCAGGUAGAGAUUGUUCUGAUUUGGAAGGCGUAUCUCCAGCCUCAGGUUUACUUCCUGCUUCUCUGCAAGCUCCAUCCAAGGCUAGACCUUGUUGGCUGCAGGCAGCAAUGUUGAAGUGAGGUCGGUCCAGGGGCUUGUGGUGUAGCUUAAGUGUUGUGACUGGCUACUUCAGAAGAUCUCAGAGGCUGGCAGUGUUGUAGCUUUAUGAUUGACUGCUGAAGCCAUAAUAGGCUAGGAGGGCUGGUGGGCAGAGACCUCAUCCCUGCACUGAAUUGUCUGGGAUUUUCUCUCUUGUACAGGAGACACUUGCAGACGAAUAAACGCAAAUCAACAACAGCAACAAUAAUAAUAAUAAAAACUCUAAAUAAUAACACCACCACAACACAUCCUCGUCACGCUGCAAUGAUUUACAUUUCCUUCCAAACUUGCCAAAAUGCAUGGGUUUAAAUAAUAAAGUAACACACUUCAUUAUUUGUGGUGAAGAAUAUUGACAACUUGACAUAAUUGUUUCUCCAGAAAACUUUUUUUUUUUUUUUUUUAUGUACAAAAUGUACUUUUUUUAUGUACUUUUUUUUUUUUCAUACAACGAGGAUGUAAGAAGCCUCACCCAUCCAGAAAGAUCAUGUCCUUGUUGUAAUGAUUCUGGUGUUGUAUGGUAUAUUACUAGAUACUUUUAGCAUGGAAUUUUCUCGUAGCUAGUCCUGUGUGUGUGUGUGUUCCCCCUGUAGGACCACUAGUUAUGGUAGGAAGGCUGUACAUCAUUGCUAAGUGCUCAGUUCUAGACCUCUUGGUGAUCUCUUUAAGCAAACUGCGAACGUAUAUCCUGCUGAAUCUAACAGUAACUUGACCCUAUUGUUAUUCCUAUUCUUAUUAUUGUCAUUAGCGAUGUCUAUAUUUGUAGUUCACAUAUAUGCCUGUUCGAAAAUACAGUAUCUUUGACCGUUCUAUUUAUGUUGUGUAAAUGUUGUGCUGGGUUUAUACUUUUUCUGGUUCACUUAAUUUGUUUUUAGUUUGUUAAUAUUUUUUCUUUCGUAUUUUUCUUUCGUAUUUCUUUUUUCUUCUUUAUUUCUUAGAGGCACAGUAAGAGGAAGCUGUUCUGUGGGAAGAGUUGUACUGUCCUGUAUGUUAGACCAGCCUGGAUCAACUAUAACAUGUUAGCUUGUGGAGUCGUGCCUCUUUAAUUAAAUUUUCCUUUUAUCAUUUUUUCUUUAUCUCAGUUCAAGGGCAUCGGCCAGGAGUCGGCACUCUCCUGCUCUGCUUGUAACCAUGUUAGUCUGAUUCUGUUCUUGAUUUUAAUAUAAAAAUAAUAAAAACAGUAGAAACCAAUGUCCGACUGG